rnacentral:rRNA from 1 species
GGGCAAGUCUGGUGCCAGCAGCCGCGGUAAUUCCAGCUCCAAUAGCGUAUAUUAAUGUUGUUGCGGUUAAAAAGCUCGUAGUUGGAUCUCGGUUUCGGGCGAGCGGUGCGCCUUGCGGCGUCUACUGUUUGCCCGGACGAUCUUGCUGGUUCGUUCAUGGUUCUCUUAACCGAGUGCCAUGAGUGGCCAGCACGUUUACUUUGAAAAAAUUGGAGUGCUCAAAGCAGGCGCUACAGCCUGAACAUUAGUGCAUGGAAUAAUGGAAUAGGACCUCGGUUCUAUUUCGUUGGCUUUCGGAGUCGAGGUAAUGAUUAAUAGGGACAGACGGGGGCAUUCGUACUGCGACGUUAGAGGUGAAAUUCUUGGAUCGUCGCAAGACGAACUACUGCGAAAGCAUUUGCCAAGAAUGU